GACGAACGCUGGCGGCGUGCUUAACACAUGCAAGUCGAACGGUAAGGCCUUCGGGUACACGAGUGGCGAACGGGUGAGUAACACGUGGGUGAUCUGCCCCCUACUCUGGGAUAAGCCUGGGAAACUGGGUCUAAUACCGGAUAUGACCUCCUUCUGCAUGGUUGGUGGUGGAAAGUUUUUUCGGUAGGGGAUGAGCCCGCGGCCUAUCAGCUUGUUGGUGGGGUAAUGGCCUACCAAGGCGACGACGGGUAGCCGGCCUGCGAGGGCGACCGGCCACACUGGGACUGAGACACGGCCCAGACUCCUACGGGAGGCAGCAGUGGGGAAUAUUGCACAAUGGGCGAAAGCCUGAUGCAGCGACGCCGCGUGGGGGAUGACGGCCUUCGGGUUGUAAACCCCUUUCAGUCGGGACGAAGCGAGAGUGACGGUACCGAUAGAAGAAGCACCGGCCAACUACGUGCCAGCCGCCGCGGUAA
rnacentral:rRNA from 1 species